UACCAGCAUUGACAAUAGAGCUAAAGCCAAUAUCCUGUGUUCUGCUUCAUAGUCGAGACCUCAGAAAUAGUAAUGAGAUGACUGAACACACAGCACCAUUGUACUAGAUGAGACGUAAGUGUAUGCCAUCCUCAUCACCUAUGCUUGUCACUGUUUGCAAAUUUCCCAUAAUGUCUCUUCAUCUGUCCUUCCUCUAUGGGGGGGUUGCCUUACUAUUAGCUUUUUCAGUAUCAUAAUUGGAUUUUUGGACAGGUUAACUUUAUUAGGUUGUAUUUCUGAUGUUGAACUUUAGCUUUCAAACUUUCUUCAAGAAAUACAGAAGUUACUAGAAAAUCUGUGUAAAUUUGUAAAUUAUUGGGUAUUUUUAUCCAUAUAUGUUUUUAUUGGUGACUGUGCUUAUUAUUUUAUUAAGAAAAUAAAUGCAGUCAGAAGAGAAUUUCCACUGUUUCUCAUCAUCACAUUUAUCCACCCGCCAGCAGUGGUACCAUGCUCUUUGCCUUCCAUCCUUUAACCGUGGCUGUACUCUCUCUGCUUCUAUCUCUGCCACUGCACCCUGGUCUGAUUCCCUUCACCCCGGAACAACAGUCCAGCAACUCCCUUUCUCUCUUACAACUCUUUGCUGGCUUCUCACCUCCUUCAGAGUAAAGGUGAUAUCUAUACAGUGGCAUUUUAGGCCCUAUAUCACAAGCCUGCCCCGAUAUUCUGUGACCUCAUCCCUUAAUACUCAACCCCUUCUUUGCUGUGCUCUAGGGACACCACCUCCCUGACCCCAGGCCUGCACCGUUUCAGGAUGCGUGCAUUUGCAGCGCCCCCUGUCGGGACUGAUUGCCUCCUGGAUAGCUCCACAGCUUUCUCUGCCAUCUUCGCCAGUCUGCUCAAAUGUCACUUUCUCUCACUGUGGCCUACUUCAUUUCCUCCUAUUGAAAAUUGGCACUUCCUCCUACUACAUAAAACUUUGGGUUCUCCCCUUUCCCCUUGCAUGUUCAAUAUUAACUGUGUAGAUAUUAUUAUCAUCUAUUAUGUUAGGCAUUUCCCUUAUUUUGUUUCUUGUGUUCCAACCUCCAUCCCUCUAUCCCUGGCACCCAGGUAGAUACACUCCCUAGAGUAUGAGCCUCUGCUGGCAGGGGUCUGUCUGUUCUGUUCGUGGCUGUAUCACCAGCGCCCGUGACAGCAUCCAACACAUGAAAGACACUCAAUAAACAUUGAGUAAAUAUCAAUAAAUGGAUUCAGUGAAUUACACAUUAUAAAAGAUAUCUGCUUUCCCCAAAUGUAUAUUUUGCAUAUGGUACACAUUUUACGAUUGUGUUGCACAGCUAUAGAUAACUCAUAACUCAUUU
rnacentral:lncRNA from 10 species